CAGAUAGACUCAUAUAAUACCAACAUUCCAGUCAGCUUUUUAGCAAGCUCCAAGCACUUCCCAGCUCUUUGUCAAAGUGCUGUAGAAGAUAAUGGUGUGACAAUUCAAGUAAGGGUCUAGGUUCGGAAGUGAAUUGACCUACAUUGUGACAGCGUGCCCUCCAGUUCCGAACAAUAUAUUGGUAGUGCCUAUGAAGAAGGAUUGCAUAUUUAUGGGAGCUGAAUACGUCACGCCAGGACUCUACAAACAAUCCAGUUCAAAGAGAACCGUUUAACUGUGGCAAGAGUACUGGAAAUUGAGAACUCUAAAUCAAAAGGAUUACACGGUAUGGAUCUUUUAAAGAUGUAAAGUGUGAUUCUAUCGCAUGACUAAGACCUGCAAGGAUUGCACUGGUUAAAAGACAUACCCGUCCUCUGAUUAUGGCGGAGCUCAACAUGUACCAUGAAGUGUAGGUGGUGGUCAAUACACCUAGGAAUGAAAAGAUGCGGAAGUUGAGGAUCGUUGGUAGUAGGUCCACAGUGAGAGAGAGCCCCCCGAAGAUCAGCGCCCAUGUUCUCUUGUUCAGUUGAGGAUUGAGGUAGUAUGCGUUACGGCAGCAAUUAUCGCAAAAUCCUCGAUGAGAAAAAUCACCAAGUCGUCAACGAUUUCAAUUAUCUCGAUUACCUACGAUCCUACGAUUCUGAAAGAGUAGAGUAGAAUUUUGACUGAAUGAAGCGCGGAUGUUCAAGGGUAACGAACCUUGAGCAGGCUAUUAUCUGGAUCACUGCUACAGCUCCCACAGUGACGACGUUGAAGAAAAGGGAUAUGUACAUCGCCCACUUCCCAACGAGCGCACCCAAGACUUCAUGGUACUAUUUUUCAUACCAACAGCAGUACACUUUCAGAAAACAGUCUUUGCAGGGAGAUGUAUGAAGGAAGUGAUUGCACAAGGCAGUGGAGAGACAGCUUUGAUAAGAAUAUCAAAUUCCAGCACCACAACCUCUACACCAUCAGGCUGUGAUGCUAGCUGAAUCAACUCGGAGGACUAUACACCCUGGAAAAUACUUGCACACUUCAACACCUUAGAAGCGCGACACAUAGGAAUCCGUGUAUCCUUGCAAGCAGGGCGCAUUCGGGAGAAGCGGUACUUGGAUGUGAAAAUGGAGUGAGAUGUUGAGAUGCGCUUCAAUUGUCAGCCAGCUUCAUUCCUGCAUCAAAAAAUUGCCAUAAGAACAAAAUGAGAGAGUCAUGACUCAGCCUAGCUAUGGUAACUUGACAAGCGGAGACAAGAAGGAUAUGAAAAAGAGACCAUCAGAUAUGCGAUUCAGAAGCUGGAGACUGAGGACAUGAGUCUCGCUGGAAAGAAAUUGAAAAGAAAGAAAAACUACAACAAAAACAAAAAUGUGAAGUAAAGCUCCAAACAUAGGUUACAGAGGAGGGGCGAAUGCAAAUUAGCCUGCUAACUAGGAUGUUGUUCAACUAAUCAUCAACCAUGGAUAACACCAAUGCGAGCAAAUAGGUUGUAAUUUGUUGCAAUUGGUGGUUACUCAACAUGUCAGUUAUAGUUUAGCAGCUCGCUUUGACAUUUUUUCUGCAACUACCACUACAGUUGUGAUGUGGAUAUAUAAAGUUCAUAGAACUCUUGUAGUGGCUUUAUGUUGUGGGCCCAUGGUAAAAGGGUGCAGUUUAUUGAUGCACACCUAGUAAAACUGCUCGGGAAUUCUUGUUCUCCACAUGAGAUAAGCUAUGCAAGAGCUUGGAUUGUGUAGCCAAGCUCUGGAGCCCAUGCACACACAUAACGCCGUAGAAAAUAUGCGAAAAUUCAAUAGUGAUCACAAUGGCAAUUUCGUCAGGUAUUUCGAGUACCCAAUCUGUCGCAUGAAGUGUCGUUGAAUCAAUUCUGUAAGCCUGCUGUUAGUUCUGAAGGCUUCACGUCUAGUAGGUCUGGGUAGUGACCCGCGAGAGAGAAUGCUGCGCUUGCAGGCUCGCAGCAAUCACGUUACAGAAAGACUGGACCAACUAAAGUUACCACUUGUCACAGACAACUUUUGACAAGAUCUCCACUUGUUUCAGUC